rnacentral:rRNA from 2 species
UUGAACGAAGGCCCUGGCUUGCCAGGUGUCCUUAGUGGCGCACGGGUGAGUAACGCGUGGGAAUCUGCCCAAGAGUGGGGAAUAACUAUUGGAAACGAUAGCUAAUACCGCAUACGCCCUCCGGGGGAAAGGCUUCGGCCGCUCAUGGAUGAUCCCGCGUCUGAUUAGCUUGUUGGUGAGGUAACGGCUCACCAAGGCGACGAUCAGUAGCUGGUCUGAGAGGAUGAUCAGCCACACUGGGACUGAGACACGGCCCAGACUCC